rnacentral:sRNA from 1 species
UGCAUGACAAAGUCAUCGGGCAUUAUCUGAACAUAAAACACUAUCAAUAAGUUGGAGUCAUUACCGUCAGUGAGUAUAUCGCGCUACUUCAGGAUGAUGUAGAUCCGAAGAACGCUACAGAAGAGAGGCAUUGUUGCUGGCAAAUAGAAGAAGUAUCGGGUUUUGUUACCCCUGAAAAACGAAGCCCC